GUGAUCGGGGAUCGCCAUCCAUCAGCGCGUUGCGCCCAUGGGUGGCAGUGCUG
rnacentral:sRNA from 1 species